rnacentral:misc_RNA from 1 species
GAUGAAGAACGUAGCGAAAUGCGAUAAGUAAUGUGAAUUGCAGAAUUCAGUGAAUCAUCGAAUCUUUGAACGCACAUUGCGCCCCUUGGUAUUCCGGGGGGCAUGCCUGUUCGAGCGUCAUUUCACCACUCAAGCCUCGCUUGGUAUUGGGCAACGCGGUCCGCCGCGUGCCUCAAAUCGACCGGCUGGGUCUUCUGUCCCCUAAGCGUUGUGGAAACUUUCGCUAAAGGGUGUUCGGGAGGCUACGCCGUAAAACAACCCCAUUUCUAAGGUUGACCUCGGAUCAGGUAGGGAUACCCGCUGAACUUAAGCAUAUCAAUAAGCGGAGGA